rnacentral:rRNA from 1 species
UACGGAGGAUCCAAGCGUUAUCCGGAAUUACUGGGCGUAAAGGGCUCGUAGGCGGCCAACUAAGUCGGACGUGAAAUCCCCAGGCUCAACCUGGGAACUGCGUCUGAUACUGGAUGGCUUGAAUCCGGGAGAGGGAUGCAGAAUUCCAGGUGUAGCGGUGAAAUGCGUAGAUAUCUGGAGGAAUACCGGUGGCGAAGGCGGCAUCCUGGACCGGCAUUGACGCUGAGGAGCGAAAGCCAGGGGAGCAAACGGG